rnacentral:miRNA from 1 species
ACCAGCCAGGCUCCUGGCUAAAGUUCAGAUUUUAGCUGGAAUUUAGUCAGGAGAUUGACUAUAA